UCUAAGGAUGAAUAAAAUUUAAUUUUAUUCUAAAUAAUAUACAGGUUAAUGUUGACCGUCCUCAUUUCUCUUCUUAAGUUAGUGUUUCUCUUGCAUGGGGGCCGGUAGCUCAGUUGGUUAGAGCACACCCUUGAUAAGGGUGGGGUCGAAAGUUCGAGUCUUUCUCGGCCCACCAAUUUAAGAUUAAGGGGGAUUAGCUCAGCUGGGAGAGCGCCUGAUUUGCAUUCAGGAGGUCAGCGGUUCGAUCCCGCUAUCCUCCACCAAAACACUUAGUUAUAAAAAAUUGUAAAUAAAAAUAAUUAAUAUCAAUAUCUAUAUCCGAACAUUAAUAAUGUUAUUAGUUAAUGUUCAAAAUAAAAAUUUGAUUCAACACAGAAUUUUUUUCUGUGCAUAAAU
rnacentral:tRNA from 1 species